rnacentral:rRNA from 1 species
CACAAGCUUAAAAUUUAAAAGACUUGACGGUACUUCAUAUCAACCUAGAGGAGCCUGUCCAAUAACCGAUAAUCCACGAUAAACCCAGCCUUUUCUAGCCAUACAGUCUAUAUACCGCCGUCGCCAGCUUACCUUAUGAAAGAAACAAAGUAGGCUCAAUAGUACCCCACUUACACGACAGGUCGAGGUGUAACUAAUGAAAAGGAUAAGAUGGGCUACAUUUUCUUUUAAACCAGAAAAAACGGACAAACUAUGAAACUAGAAACUAAAGGAGGAUUUAGCAGUAAGAUAAGAACAUUAUACUUAUCCGAAACAAACGCAACGAAGUGUGU